rnacentral:rRNA from 1 species
UACAGGGGGGCAAGCGUUGUUCGGAAUUACUGGGCGUAAAGGGCUCGUAGGCGGCCAACUAAGUCACACGUGAAAUCCCCAGGCUUAACCUGGGAACUGCGUGUGAUACUGGAUGGCUUGAAUUCGGGAGAGGGAUGCAGAAUUCCAGGUGUAGCGGUGAAAUGCGUAGAUAUCUGGAGGAAUACCGGUGGCGAAGGCGGCAUCCUGGACCGACAUUGACGCUGAGGAGCGAAAGCUAGGGGAGCAAACGGGG